UACGUAGGGCGCAAGCGUUAUCCGGAAUUAUUGGGCGUAAAGAGCUCGUAGGCGGUUUGUCGCGUCUGCCGUGAAAAUCCGGGGCUCAACCCCGGACUUGCAGUGGGUACGGGCAGACUAGAGUGUGGUAGGGGAGACUGGAAUUCCUGGUGUAGCGGUGAAAUGCGCAGAUAUCAGGAGGAACACCGAUGGCGAAGGCAGGUCUCUGGGCCACUACUGACGCUGAGAAGCGAAAGCGUGGGGAGCAAACAGG
rnacentral:rRNA from 1 species